UACGUAGGGGGCUAGCGUUGUUCGGAAUCAUUGGGCGUAAAGCGCGUGUAGGCGGUCCGGUAAGUCCGCUGUGAAAGUCGAGGGCUCAACCCUCGAAUGCCGGUGGAUACUGUCGGGCUUGAGUACGGGAGAGGCGAGUGGAAUUCCUGGUGUAGCGGUGAAAUGCGCAGAUAUCAGGAGGAACACCGGUGGCGAAGGCGGCGUUCUGGACCAUUACUGACACUGAACCGCGAAAACUAGGGGAGCAAACGGG
rnacentral:rRNA from 1 species